rnacentral:rRNA from 1 species
UGGGGAAUAUUGCACAAUGGGCGCAAGCCUGAUGCAGCCAUGCCGCGUGUAUGAAGAAGGCCUUCGGGUUGUAAAGUACUUUCAGCGGGGAGGAAGGUGUUGUGGUUACUAACCACAGCAAUUGACGUUACCCGCAGAAGAAGCACCGGCUAACUCCGUGCCAGCAGCCGCGGUAAUACGGAGGGUGCAAGCGUUAAUCGGAAUUACUGGGCGUAAAGCGCACGCAGGCGGUCUGUCAAGUCGGAUGUGAAAUCCCCGGGCUCAAACUGGGAACUGGAUCCGAAACGGGCAGGCUUGAGUCUUGUAGGGGGGGGUAGAAUUCCAGGUGUAGCGGUGAAAUGCGUAGAGAUCUGGAGGAAUACCGGUGGCGAAGGCGGCCCCCUGGACAAAGACUGACGCUCAGGUGCGAAAGCGUGGGGAGCAAACA